GCCAGCAGCCGCGGUAACACCGGCGGCCCGAGUGGUGAUCGUGAUUAUUGGGUCUAAAGGGUCCGUAGCCGGUUGGUCAGUCCCCCGGGAAAUCUGAUAGCUCAACUAUUAGGCUUUCGGGGGAUACUGCCAGACUUGGAACCGGGAGAGGUAAGAGGUACUACAGGGGUAGGAGUGAAAUCUUGUAAUCCCUGUGGGACCACCUGUGGCGAAGGCGUCUUACCAGAACGGGUUCGACGGUGAGGGACGAAAGCUGGGGGCACGAACCGGAUUAGAUACCCGGGUAGUCCCAGCCGUAAACGAUGCUCGCUAGGUGUCAGGCAUGGCGCGACCGUGUCUGGUGCCGCAGGGAAGCCGUGAAGCGAGCCACCUGGGAAGUACGGCCGCAAGGCUGAAACUUAAAGGAAUUGGCGGGGGAGCACAACAACGGGUGGAAGCCUGCGGUUUAAUUGGACUCAACGCCGGACAACUCACCGGGGGCGACAGCAAUAUGUAGGCCAAGCUGAAGACUUUGCCUGAAUCGCUGAGGGGAGGUGCAUGG
rnacentral:rRNA from 1 species